UUCCAUGUGAACGGCACU
rnacentral:snRNA from 1 species